rnacentral:lncRNA from 1 species
CCAUGUCAGCUGACCUUAGAGGCUAGAACAGCCUUAAAAAGGGUUGAAAAUGCAAUUAAAAAUGCACAAAUUACUAGAGUUUAUCCUAAGGGAAUAGUGUAUUUAUUAAUAUUUCCAACUGAGCAUACCCCAACAGGAGCCAUAUGGCAAAGAUUAGGAGUUAUUGAGUGAAUUUAUUUAUCCCACUCCCCUCAAAAAACAUUAAUUCCUUUUCAUUACUCUAUUGCUCAAUUAGUAAUUAAAGGUAGAACUAGGAUUUUACAAUUAAUGAGAUCUGAGCCUGAUAUCAUAAUUAUUCCAUUUUCUGUUCAACAGACUAAUUGGCUUUUUCAAAAUUCUAGCUUAUGGCAGAUAGCUUUUGCUGAUUUUCCUGGCCAGAUAGAUAGCCAUUACCCUCGUGAUAAGAUUAUCUAAUUUGCAUCAUUAACAUCACUUAUUUUUCCAAAGAUUGUGCAUGCACGUCCUAUAGAUGAAGCCUUAUUGGUGUCCACUGAUGGUUCAAGCUCAGGUAAAGCAGGUUUUUAUAGUUGUGUUCACACAGAGGUAAUACAAACUUCAUAUACUUCUGCCCAAAGAGCAGAGCUUCAAGCUCUGAUUUGUGCCUUAAAUUACUUUUCAAAUGAGCCUAUUAAUAUUUAUUCUGACAGCUUAUAUGCAGUCAGAGUUAUCAAAAAUAUCGAAACUUCAGUUAUUGGGUAUACUUCAUCACAAGAGUUAUUUGAAUUAUUUCAUAAUCUACAGAAGGCAGUGCUAAUGUGAAAAUACCCAUGUUUCAUAGGACACAUAUGGGCUCAUACUAAUCUUCCAGGAUCUUUAGUUUCAGGUAAUGACAAAAUUGAUAAAUUAGUAGGUUUUUGUCAACAGAUGUCUUCAUAUUACUGUGCACAAGCUUCCCAUUCCUUGCAUCAUAAAAAUGCUUCUAGCUUACGUAAAAACUCUAAUAUUACCAGAGAACAAGCUGGUCAAAUUGUAAGCCAAUGCCCUAAGUGUGUUAUUCACACUCCAUCUCCACCAUCAGGGGUAAAUCCCCGUGGAUUAAAACCAAAUCAAAUAUGGCAAAUGGAUGUAACUCAUAUUCCUCAAUUUGGUAAGCAAUGUUAUGUACAUGUCAUAGUGGACACAUAUUCCAGAUUUAUUUUUGCCACAGCAUGUACUAAGGAAAAUACUCAACAUGUAAUUUCUCAUUGCCUAGCAGCUUUUCCUGUGUUAGGGUGCCCUGUGCAGAUUAAAACAGAUAAUGCAUCAGCUUAUGUAAGCUCUUCUUUUCAACAAUUUUGCCAAGAGUUUCAAAUUAAUCAUAAAACAGGAAUUCCUUAUAACCCCCAAGGUCAAGCCAUUGUGGAAUGAGCUCAUUUAUCUAUUAAGCUUCAAUUACAAAAAUUAAAAGGGGGGAAUAGGGUUAUGACUCCCCAAAAUAGCUUCAAUCAUGCCUUGUUCAUUUUAAAUUUUUUAAAUUUUGACGUAGAAGUUCAUACUGCCACUGAGAGGCAAAUGUCUCCCUCAGUAACAGGCCCUUUAGGCAGAGUUUUGUGGAAAGAUUUACAGACUGGUCAAUGGAAAGGCCCAGACCCAGUGAUUAUGUGGGGCAGAGGUCAUGCUUGUAUUUUCCCAGAAGGUGCUUUUCAUCCUAUCUGGGUGCCUGAACACACAAUCAGACAUGGAAGAGAUAGAACCGAGAUUCAAGCAACUGAAGAUCGACCCGGAGAAGCCCCCAUCCAAAAGGAAGAGAUAUCGGAAAAAGACGAAGAGAAACCAGGUUGACCCAGCCAAAAAGCUGAUUUCAUGGGAAUACGUGAAGAAGCUAACAACACAGGCUUCCCGAAUAAUUCGACUCCUAGGAAAGAACAGGACCCCAGUCUUGAUGGUAGUCAGGUAAAGGGGAAUCAGAUAGACACUUACUGGACAUAUUUCCCAGAUCCACCCCUGGUACACCCAGCUGUGUGGACUGGAGAAUCUAUUCCAGUAUUUACUAAUGACUCAUUCAUGAUGGGAGGAUUUACAGAUACUAAUAUUACUCCCAAUCAUGUGACUAGAUUUAAUUAUUCUGGCUAUAGUGCCCAAUUACAUUUGUGUUGGUCCCACGAUAAACAUGCUGGCUGUCUGAAAGUAUCAUUCAAGGAAAAGACAGUGAUUGGUAGACCUAGACUGACAAAUUAUUCUAUUAUUGGAGACUUAAAACCUUAUACUAGAUCAGUAAUUAAGAUGGUACUUUCACAUAACAAGCCAGUAAUUUCUGCAAAACCUCCACGGAUACCCCACUGUCCAAAUAGUUCUACAAUUGAGAUUGGCACCUUUCCUAGAUGGAUGGAUUGUGUAAAUACCUUUCCUGUACAACAUAAGGUGUCUAAAGAUAGUGGGUAUAUUUUAGACUGGUCUCCAAAAAUUGAUGAGCAAUUACGAAAAAAUUCUUGCUAUGACACCUGCAGGAUUUGUUAGUAAUAUUUUGGCUUACAGUGAGGGUGGUAUUCAAAAGGAUGUUUGGUGCUUAAUUGCUGCCUCAGAAUUCUUACAUUUUACAGACAAGCCUUUACCAAAAUUUGUUGGCAAGAACUGUAAGGAAGGAUCUUGCUAUGGCUUACGAGCCUGUGUCCAAUCUCCUUAUGUUUUAAUUAUUGGAAAUGUAAAAGUGAAAUGGAUAGAUGACAGAUAUAUUGUUACAUGUAACAAAUGUAACCUAACCAAUUGUAUUACUAGGUAUAAUGGAGGAAAAGGACUGCUGAUACUUCAUUAACCCUCUUUUGUUUUACUACCUGCUAAUAUUUCAGAGCCAUGGUAUGCUGAUACUGGUUUACAAGUCUUGCAGCAAAUUCAUUCCCAGCUAGCAAGACCUAAACGUGCUAUUGGAAUUAUAAUUGUUGGUGUUUUGGCGUUAGUCUCUUUUAUUGAAUCCAUUGUUUCUGUGUCUCUGACAUUGUCUCAAAAUAUUCAGCAUGCAAAAUUUCUUAAUAAUUUAGCUCAAAAUAUUUCCAAGGCUCUGCGUAAUCAAGUAAAUAUUAAUGAA